UACGUAGGGAGCAAGCGUUGUCCGGAAUCAUUGGGCGUAAAGCGCGCGUAGGCGGUUUCGUAAGUCCGUUGUGAAAGUCAAAGGCUCAACCUUUGAAAGCCGAUGGAUACUGUGAAGCUAGAGUACGGAAGAGGCGAGUGGAAUUCCUGGUGUAGCGGUGGAAUGCGCAGAGAUCAGGAGGAACACCAAUAGCGAAGGCAGCUCGCUGGGACGUUACUGACACUGAGGCGCGAAAGCGUGGGGAGCGAACAGG
rnacentral:rRNA from 1 species